AUUGAACGCUGGCGGCAGGCCUAACACAUGCAAGUCGAACGGUAACAGGAAGCAGCUUGCUGCUUUGCUGACGAGUGGCGGACGGGUGAGUAAUGUCUGGGAAACUGCCCGAUGGAGGGGGAUAACUACUGGAAACGGUAGCUAAUACCGCAUAACGUCGCAAGACCAAAGAGGGGGACCUUAGGGCCUCUUGCCAUCGGAUGUGCCCAGAUGGGAUUAGCUAGUAGGUGGGGUAACGGCUCACCUAGGCGACGAUCCGUAGCUGGUCUGAGAGGAUGACCAGCCACACUGGAACUGAGACACGGUCCAGACUCCUACGGGAGGCAGCAGUGGGGAAUAUUGCACAAUGGGCGCAAGCCUGAUGCAGCCAUGCCGCGUGUAUGAAGAAGGCCUUCGGGUUGUAAAGUACUUUCAGCGGGGAGGAAGGGAGUAAAGUUAAUACCUUUGCUCAUUGACGUUACCCGCAGAAGAAGCACCGGCUAACUCCGUG
rnacentral:rRNA from 1 species